rnacentral:rRNA from 2 species
UGGGGAAUUUUGGACAAUGGGCGAAAGCCUGAUCCAGCCAUGCCGCGUGAGUGAAGAAGGCCUUCGGGUUGUAAAGCUCUUUUAGUCGGAAAGAAAGAGUUGCAAUGAAUAAUUGUGAUUUAUGACGGUACCGACAGAAAAAGCACCGGCUAACUACGUGCCAGCAGCCGCGGUAAUACGUAGGGUGCGAGCGUUAAUCGGAAUUACUGGGCGUAAAGGGUGCGCAGGCGGUCUUGCAAGUCAGAUGUGAAAGCCCCGGGCUUAACCUGGGAAUUGCGUUUGAAACUACAAGACUAGAGUGCAGCAGAGGGGAGUGGAAUUCCAUGUGUAGCAGUGAAAUGCGUAGAGAUGUGGGAGAACACCGAUGGCGAAGGCAGCUCCCUGGGUUGACACUGACGCUCAUGCACGAAAGCGUGGGGAGCAAACA